AUUGAACGCUGGCGGCAGGCCUAACACAUGCAAGUCGAACGAGUGGCGGACGGGUGAGUAAUGUCUGGGAAACUGCCCGAUGGAGGGGGAUAACUACUGGAAACGGUAGCUAAUACCGCAUACCAUCGGAUGUGCCCAGAUGGGAUUAGCUAGUAGGUGGGGUAACGGCUAACCUAGGCGACGCUCCCUCGCUGGUCUGAGCGGAUGACCAGCCACACGGGAGCUGAGACACGGGCCAGACUCCUUCGGGAGGCCGCAGUGGGGAAUAUUGCGCAAUGGGCGCAAGCCUGAUGCAGCCAUGCCGCGUGUAAGGAGAAGGCCCUCGGGUUGUAAAGUACUUUCAGGGAGGGGGCGUUACUCGCAGAAGAAGCACCGGCUAACUCCGUGCCAGCAGCCGCGGUAAUUC
rnacentral:rRNA from 1 species